rnacentral:misc_RNA from 1 species
AGAUUGACUUAUCACCAAUGAUUCCUAAUAACCAAUUUGCCUGGCUUAUAUAGAUGCUCCUCAGGGCUUCCUCUUAAAUUCAUAAUUAAUGCAUUCAGCUCAUAAAGAAGCUCCUAGGAUCUUCCUCUAUCAUAAAUAGUGAGCUAGGGACUUAUUAGGCCCCAGCUGGUCUUACCAUAUAACAUCAUGCAUGCCAACAAUAUAUAACAUAUCAAUACCAUGAUGAAACCAGUGGGUCAUCCAACAUCUAUUAUGCAUCAACAAUAAUUAUGCAAUAAUGUAACAUAUUCGUGUUCUAGAUACAUACAACUUAAUAAUAUCAUGAAAUAUGCAUGUGAAUUAUCAUAGUUCUCAUUAA